rfam:Dipodomys ordii contig_49801, whole genome shotgun sequence.
GUGAAAGUGGCUCAGUGGUAGAGUGCUUGCCUUGCACGCAUGAGACCCUGGGUUCGAUUCCUCAGCACCACA